rnacentral:rRNA from 1 species
GAGUCGCCGCGGUAAUACGGAGGGUGCAAGCGUUAAUCGGAAUUACUGGGCGUAAAGCGCACGCAGGCGGUCUGUCAAGCCAAAUGUGAAAUCCCCGGGCUUAACCUGGGAACUGCAUUUGAAACUGGCAGGCUAGAGUCUUGUAGAGGGGGGUAGAAUUCAAGGUGUAGCUGUGAAAUGCGUAGAGAUCUGGAGGAAUACCGGUGGCGAAGGCGGCCCCCUGGACAAAGACUGACGCUCAGGUGCGAAAGCGUGGGGAGCAAACAGGAUUAGAGCCCCAGUAGUCCCUGUCUCUUAUACA